rnacentral:rRNA from 1 species
GUGGGGAAUAUUGGACAAUGGGCGCAAGCCUGAUCCAGCCAUGCCGCGUGAGUGAUGAAGGCCUUAGGGUUGUAAAGCUCUUUCAGUAGGGAAGAUAAUGACGGUACCUACAGAAGAAGCCCCGGCUAACUUCGUGCCAGCAGCCGCGGUAAUACGAAGGGGGCUAGCGUUGUUCGGAUUUACUGGGCGUAAAGCGCACGUAGGCGGAUUGGUCAGUUAGAGGUGAAAUCCCGAAGCUCAACUUCGGAACUGCCUUUAAUACUGCCAGUCUCGGGUCCGGAAGAGGUGAGUGGAACUCCUAGUGUAGAGGUGGAAUUCGUAGAUAUUAGGAAGGACACCAGUGGCGAAGGCGGCUCACUGGUCCGGUACUGACGCUGAGGUGCGAAAGCGUGGGGAGCAAACAGGAUUAGAAACCCGGGUAGUCC